GACGAACGCUGGCGGCGUGCUUAACACAUGCAAGUCGAACGGAAAGGCCCUGCUUUUGUGGGGUGCUCGAGUGGCGAACGGGUGAGUAACACGUGAGUAACCUGCCCUUGACUUUGGGAUAACUUCAGGAAACUGGGGCUAAUACCGGAUAGGAGCUCCUGCUGCAUGGUGGGGGUUGAAAAGUUUCGGCGGUUGGGGAUGGACUCGCGGCUUAUCAGCUUGUUGGUGGGGUAGUGGCUUACCAAGGCUUUGACGGGUAGCCGGCCUGAGAGGGUGACCGGCCACAUGGGGACUGAGAUACGGCCCAGACUCCUACGGGAGGCAGCAGUGGGGAAUAUUGCACAAUGGGCGGAAGCCUGAUGCAGCAACGCCGCGUGCGGGAUGACGGCCUUCGGGUUGUAAACCGCUUUCGCCUGUGACGAAGCGUGAGUGACGGUAAUGGGUAAAGAAGCACCGGCUAACUACGUG
rnacentral:rRNA from 1 species